AUCAGAUAUUUUGUGGUAGAAUACCAAUUCUGUGUUGUAUCUUUUUCUUUAAUCAAAUAUAGUGUUCACAAUGCUGUAUUGCAUUUGUACAGAAAUGGUGUUUUCCUCUAUUGGUCUGACAUGGACAAUCAGAUAUGUGUGAAUGUGCUCAAAGUUGAAUGCUGUUUCACUCCCACAGCUGCAAGAGAGCCCUGUUAGAGUUUCUGCUUGCUGUCUGUUCCAUGUGAGGGUUCUUCUGAAAUGGCUGAACUGAUGCAACAACUCAUUGGUGCUAAAACUGGUGUUCUAGCUCUGCUUUUGUUGUGCAGCCUGCGAUGUUUGACUUUUUACCUCAGUAAGACAGUUGCAGAGUAACCAGUGAAAAACCCAACAGAAAAACGAACGCCUGGGGUGAACUCAGUCUGGGAGCCAGCCGUGGCAAAUAGAAACACCUUAAACUGUAAAGAAUUGGUGCUUCCUUUGGUCAACAGCAGGUUAAACUCGAGAUGAAGUUUUAAUGAGCAGCUUUAUCAAGGGAGGGUAGGAGAAGCUGUGUGUAUGUGCUCAAUUCUAACAGCAUCUUGACUACUUGAUUUAAAAA